UACAGGGGUCUCGAGCGUUAGGCGGAAUCACUGGGCUUAAAGCGUGUGUAGGCGGGUCGUUAAGUGCCUUGUGAAAUCCCAUGGCUCAACCAUGGAACUGCUGGGCAUACUGGCGAUCUUGUGCAACCUAGGGGCGAGCGGAACAGAUGGUGGAGCGGUGAAAUGCGUAGAUAUCAUCUGGAACGCCAAUGGUGAAAACAGCUCGCUGGGGGUUUGCAGACGCUGAGACACGAAAGCCAGGGGAGCGAACGGG
rnacentral:rRNA from 1 species